GCUCGGCUGCGCGGGGGGAGGAGCCGCCCCGGCGCGCGCCCCCACAGGCGGUGCGGGAGCCGCCAUUGCUGCGGGAGUAACCCUCGCGCCUCGGAACUGCUCCGUUCCUCCUCUGCCUCUUACCCUGCGAUGGAUGGGCCACUGGCAGAGUGAUUUCUGCGCCCGGGCUGAGUGACGCUGUGUGGCGAGGGUGGUUGGGCCGCUGACCUCCUCCUCCUCCUCACUGUAGCUCCGGGCCAAGUGAUGUUCUGCAGCCAAAACUGCUGGAGAGAGCUUGGCUGGAUGUUAAACUGUUGGUGAGGGUGGAAAUGCACAAAGGGAAAGGCUGAAGGAGGAUGGUGCCCCCGAGAGGUUUUAGUUUUGUGAAGGAACUCGAUUUUUCUAAACCAGACUGCUGAGUUGUCACCUCAGAGGUGAAACCUCCUUAAUGCAUCUGACCAUGGCCAUCCAAACCAUCCCAUUCUUUUUAGAGCUUGCUGUCAGAGACGUCUCAAGCUGAAGGGCAGCCAUCCUCUGGUAUCAGCAUGUCAGUAAAUUCCUCAGUGGAAAGGAGAGGCUUGUACUGAAGGUGGUGAAAGGAAGGAGCCUGCUGAGCUGGAACACCGCUCCCUGGACAAGGGAACAGCUGAUGCUCACUGCAGUCAGCUUGGUGUAACUUACCAGCUCUUCCAUGACAAAUGCUAGAACAAGUGAUUUCCUGAGAAGCUGCACCCUUUUUGAAGGAGUGCUUUUGCAGUCAUCAUCAAUUGGGGACACAUCCUGAAUAAACCCAGAAGAGUGGGUUGCCGUGGCAGAGGGGGAUGAGAGUGGAACUGGCAGAGAAGUAGAAAGGAGAACACAUGAGGAGCACUGUGCCUCUCAGAAAUUCCUUGCUCUCUUUCAAAGAGGGUUGAAUCCAAAGUGUGUCUUGCUGCUGCCUCAACAUCGUUACCACUUUCCUCUGGCCAUGGAUGUCCUACUGUUUCAUUCCUCAGAGUUAUCCAUGCCUCAGCCACCUCCUGUUAUCCCACUGGCUCUAUGGCAUCUUAGUCUGUGCUCUUUCGGAAGGGUGGAGGAGGCCUCCCUAGUAUGAGGAAUGUCCACAGCUGCAGACGUGGUGCUAACAGCAGAACCACCUGUUUUGUAGCUUGCACAAGCUGAAGCUAUUGUGUGACACAAAGUGCUUCAGUUUCUUGGGAGCUGACUAUAGUCAUUCUUAGGUAACCAGCUACACCAGUUACAAGUGAGCGUUUUUGCUGCCAUUCUAUGAAUUUUUCCUUUGAACUUUAUGAGUCAUGCUAUAAUAGAAGGUUUAGACAUGUUUUCCACUCAAUGUAAGGUUUAGACACAUUUUCCACGUAGCAGGAAAACCUCCUAGGAAACAAUUAGGAUGAAAGGCUAAAACAUUUUCCUCAGCUUUCAAGUCUGGCAAAUUUCAAAUGACUCAACACCACAAUUAUUUUUUCCUUCAUGCAUCAUUCUAGAAAAAAGGGCUGUUAUUUGAUGAGUUGCAGGUUUUCUCCACCAUUUUAAUUUUGUCUUCAGAUUUUCAUUUUGCAGGCAGGACAUUUUCAAUGGCCAUAUAUGAAGCUGACCUCUGGCUGGGAAGGGCACUUGUCAAAAUAGUACGGGAAACCUGUGUGCCUAGAGGCUUGUAAAAAUGGUUGUGUUUAGAGGAAUUUUGACUUUCAGCAUAGUUCACUCUAUCAGAAAGAGUGAAUUAUUUUUAAGUCUUAUUCAUUAAGAUAAUAUGCAGUAUGUUGACAAAAGAAAACUCUUUGUCAGUAGUUUGGAAUGGUUGUUGAAGACAAUGUAGUUUCUCUACUUGAAGUACUUUAUUGAGGUUGUUUCUUUCCCUCAUGGUCAGUGUGAAACACAAGCAAUAGAACCUGUUUCACCAAAGCUGUAAAACCCUACUGAUAGCCCUAGUGGGUGCUCUUGAGUAAUUUGAAAUUUAAGCUGUAGUCCUGUCGAUCAAGUCCUAUGGCACAGGAGAGCUAUCAAAUGUAAAGGUCUCUUUGGUUCAGUUACAUACCUCAUGGAAAUAUUUUUUUUUCUUGAAAGAUGAGUGUGGUAAUAAAGCUUUGAGCCAGUGUACCUUUUCUGAUAUUUCUCUUCAUGUAUUUGCCACUACAAAUAACGUAUUUUAUAAUAUGUACAGAUAAAUAUAUGUGUGUAUAUAUUGACUUGUGAUGCUCAUAUUUUGAAUGACAAGAGUCACACUGAAAGAGGCAAUAAAGUGUGGGAUGAGAAGGAGAUGAGUGUGAAGGCUGAAGUAUCAUCAGGAGAUGAAGUGCCAGUCUGAAGUGUCACUGGAAGAGGAGAUUCAAAUGAAAGCCAGUGGAGAGAACCUCCUAAAUUCUUGCAGCUUUCUGGUGGUCAGCUUUACUGCUAGAAGCUGUGUUGCCUGUCCUUGAGGCUUGAGGCUAAUUCUGGUCUUAAAGUGAGGAUUACUCAGAAGGGACUGAACUAUGGUAUGUCUAACAUUGCCAGAAGUUAAUUUAUCAUAAAUACUCUGUGUACAGAAUAUUGUUUCUUAAUAGAGGUGCAAUGAAGGAACAA